UCCACCAUAAACCCUAAAACUGCGUUUCUCAUCUCAGAGAUUUUAUUCCAAAUGGCUUUUCGUUCGGGUUCUCUGUCGCGCUCCAUAAUGUCCACCGCUUUCAAGUGCCGUUUCACGGUUUUUUCUUAAUUAACGACAAUGAGAUCGAAAUCAUAGUUUCAAAACCCAUUUCCUAUCAGCCGUCUUUUAUAUUUUGAGUAUGUGUUGUUUUGGGACAGGAAUUCGCUUUUACCUCUACAGAGUACCAUGACGACGUCGUCACACGUUGUUUUGGUUCGGUUCUAGGACGCAUGAAUUUUUUUCAAAUUGUUUUUAAGCAUUUUCAUCUCAAUGCCUAACUCCUGCUCAAUUUCUAAUUUUUUUAUUGCACAUAUUCAACUAAUGUUUUCUUUUUCUUUUUUAUUUUAAUCUGACAGGGAAUUCUACAUCCUUGAGUGGAGCAUGAUAUCAUUACUAGCAACCUACGGAGCACCUCUAUAUAUAAAAUUAGAGAGAUCAUGGGUGUGACUUUCGAUGGGCUACAUAUUGCAUUUCAAUAAAUUACUUGUAAUGUAUUAUUUUUUUGUACCAAUGACUUGUGACCAAGCACUUCCAAAAUAUCUAAAUUUAUAAAAGACAUAAUGGAGGAGGGCAGAACAUUUGGGUCUUCUUGGAUUCGAGAGUAUUGAUUCAUGGUAGCUUUCUUGUGUUAUUUAAGUUGCGACCUGAUUUCGUCAUUUAUGUCUAUAACAAUACAUUGGUUUGCAUCUUGAAUUUCAAUAUUUAUUUUUUA